rnacentral:lncRNA from 1 species
GUGUCUUCUGCCUGUUCUGAGGGAUGUGUUCUUUGUUCCGUUCCGAAGUUGUUCAUGGACUGCUUCAUUUUCUUCUCAAGUGGUCUGACUGGCCCUUGGGUGUAGCCGUGCCUCUUUGCCUGUUCAACGAUGUGUUCGGUUUCCUCCUUGUAAUCGUUCGGAUCGGUACAGUGGAUUGUCGCUCGACGCACGUGCGUUCUGGGUGCCGCUUUCUUGUGUUUCAUUGGGUCUUUUGACCAAGCUGGUGUGGGGGCGGGUGCAAGACUGGGCUUUUGGUGUGCACUCGGCUUAUGCGUGGGGCCU